GCCAGAUUGGCAAUUUGAAACGCACUGUCUGUGACGGCUGCUGAGGCUGCUGCGGGGGAGUGAAGGGCUGUCAUGACGAUGACCCCUGGAGGAAAAAUGUGACUUUGUGACUUGGUGCUGUUGAACAUGAUGAUUUGUGAUCUGGAAUUAAUGAAGAACUACCAAGCUGCUGAAUUUAUACUACACUGAUUAUUUCAAGAAACAUUUUCAAGUGCCUACACUGUAUUACUCACCAUGGGAAAUACAGGUUAUGGUGGAGUCUGCAAUUGAUGAUUAGUGAUUCUGAGAACCAGCUCAUUGCCACCAUACUAUGCUUGGAAACAUAAGUCUGGAAAUACUAGAUGCCUGUCCUCAAAGAAUUCAAGCCUAGUAGGCACAACUGUGGACAUAACUAAUUGUAUAGGACUACAACAAUCUGGAAAGUAACAAUAUAAAUAUGUUCAAAGUUCUGGAGGACCCCAGAGGAUGACAUGUGUGCUUCUGUCCAGGAGAACAGGU